rnacentral:rRNA from 1 species
UACGUACGAGGCGAGCGUUAUCCGGAAUUACUGGGCGUAAAGCGCGCGCAGGUGGCUUGGUAAGUGAGAUGUGAAAUCUCCCGGCCUAACUGGGAGGGGACAUUUCAGACUGGCAGGCUUGAGGACAGCAGAGGUAGGUGGAAUUCCCGGUGUAGCGGUGAAAUGCGCAGAUAUCGGGAGGAACACCAAUGGCGAAGGCAGCUCGCUGGGACGGUACUGACGCUGAGGCGCGAAAGCGUGGGGAGCAAACAGG